rnacentral:misc_RNA from 1 species
GUGACCUGACAAAACAGACCGCGCACUUGUAAUCCUGCCCGCCGGGCAGCGGCACCGUUCGUCGCCCGGCCAAAAAAUCCUCGAGAACCUCGGAUAUGGCUCUCGGGGUAAAAGAACCCACGGCGCCGAAGGCGUCAAGGAAAACUGUGUGUAACUCGGGGACGUGGCUGGCUCGCUGGCCGCCCCUCGUGUUGAAUGCUAUAUAAUCCACACGACUCUCGGCAACGGAUAUCUCGGCUCUCGCAUCGAUGAAGAACGUAGCGAAAUGCGAUACCUGGUGUGAAUUGCAGAAUCCCGCGAACCAUCGAGUCUUUGAACGCAAGUUGCGCCCGAGGCCACUUGGCCGAGGGCACGCCUGCCUGGGCGUCACGCAAAACACGCUCCAACCCCAAAACUCUGGGGCGGGACGCGGCAUGUGGCUCCCCGUCUCGCAAAGUGGCGGUGGGCCGAAGAUCUGGCUGCCGGCUUGUCGUGCCGGACACAGCGCGUGGUAGGCGAUCUCGCUAUACUAAACGCAGUGCAUCCGACACGUAGCCGGCGUGGUUGCCUCAGAAGACCCUAUUAACGGAGCGCAGCACGCUUUGACC